rnacentral:rRNA from 1 species
UACGGGGGGGGCAAGCGUUGUUCGGAAUUACUGGGCGUAAAGGGCUCGUAGGCGGGUCUUUAAGUCAGGGGUGAAAUCCUGGAGCUCAACUCCAGAACUGCCUUUGAUACUGAAGAUCUUGAGUUCGGGAGAGGUGAGUGGAACUGCGAGUGUAGAGGUGAAAUUCGUAGAUAUUCGCAAGAACACCAGUGGCGAAGGCGGCUCACUGGCUCGGUACUGACGCUGAGGUGCGAAAGCGUGGGGAGCAAACAGG